GGGUUGUGAGGUUAAGCGACUAAGCGUACACGGUGGAUGCCCUGGCAGUCAGAGGCGAUGAAGGACGUGCUAAUCUGCGAAAAGCGUCGGUAAGGUGAUAUGAACCGUUAUAACCGGCGAUGUCCGAAUGGGGAAACCCAGUGCAAUUCGUUGCACUAUCGUUAACUGAAUACAUAGGUUAACGAGGCGAACCGGGGGAACUGAAACAUCUAAGUACCCCGAGGAAAAGAAAUCAACCGAGAUUCCCCCAGUAGCGGCGAGCGAACGGGGAGCAGCCCAGAGUCUGAAUCAGCUUGUGUGUUAGUGGAACGGUCUGGAAAGUCCGACGGUACAGGGUGAUAGUCCCGUACACCAAAAUGCACAGGCUGUGAACUCGAAGAGUAGGGCGGGACACGUGGUAUCCUGUCUGAAUAUGGGGGGACCAUCCUCCAAGGCUAAAUACUCCUGACUGACCGAUAGUGAACCAGUACCGUGAGGGAAAGGCGAAAAGAACCCCGGCGAGGGGAGUGAAAAAGAACCUGAAACCGUGUACGUACAAGCAGUGGGAGCACCUUCGGGUGUGACUGCGUACCUUUUGUAUAAUGGGUCAGCGACUUAUAUUCUGUAGCAAGGUUAACCGUAUAGGGGAGCCGCAGGGAAACCGAGUCUUAACUGGGCGUUAAGUUGCAGGGUAUAGACCCGAAACCCGGUGAUCUAGCCAUGGGCAGGUUGAAGGUUGGGUAACACUAACUGGAGGACCGAACCGACUAAUGUUGAAAAAUUAGCGGAUGACUUGUGGCUGGGGGUGAAAGGCCAAUCAAACCGGGAGAUAGCUGGUUCUCCCCGAAAGCUAUUUAGGUAGCGCCUCGUGAACUCAUCUUCGGGGGUAGAGCACUGUUUCGGCUAGGGGGUCAUCCCGACUUACCAACCCGAUGCAAACUACGAAUACCGAAGAAUGUUAUCACGGGAGACACACGGCGGGUGCUAACGUCCGUCGUGAAGAGGGAAACAACCCAGACCGCCAGCUAAGGUCCCAAAGUCAUGGUUAAGUGGGAAACGAUGUGGGAAGGCACAGACAGCCAGGAUGUUGGCUUAGAAGCAGCCAUCAUUUAAAGAAAGCGUAAUAGCUCACUGGUCGAGUCGGCCUGCGCGGAAGAUGUAACGGGGCUAAACCAUGCACCGAAGCUGCGGCAGCGACACUAUGUGUUGUUGGGUAGGGGAGCGUUCUGUAAGCCUGCGAAGGUGUGCUGUGAGGCAUGCUGGAGGUAUCAGAAGUGCGAAUGCUGACAUAAGUAACGAUAAAGCGGGUGAAAAGCCCGCUCGCCGGAAGACCAAGGGUUCCUGUCCAACGUUAAUCGGGGCAGGGUGAGUCGACCCCUAAGGCGAGGCCGAAAGGCGUAGUCGAUGGGAAACAGGUUAAUAUUCCUGUACUUGGUGUUACUGCGAAGGGGGGACGGAGAAGGCUAUGUUAGCCGGGCGACGGUUGUCCCGGUUUAAGCAUGUAGGCUGGUUAUCCAGGCAAAUCCGGAUAAUCAAGGCUGAGGUGUGAUGACGAGGCACUACGGUGCUGAAGUAACAAAUGCCCUGCUUCCAGGAAAAGCCUCUAAGCAUCAGGUAACAUUAAAUCGUACCCCAAACCGACACAGGUGGUCAGGUAGAGAAUACCAAGGCGCUUGAGAGAACUCGGGUGAAGGAACUAGGCAAAAUGGUGCCGUAACUUCGGGAGAAGGCACGCUGGUGUGUAGGUGAAGCCCCUGCGGGUGGAGCUGAGACCAGUCGAAGAUACCAGCUGGCUGCAACUGUUUAUUAAAAACACAGCACUGUGCAAACACGAAAGUGGACGUAUACGGUGUGACGCCUGCCCGGUGCCGGAAGGUUAAUUGAUGGGGUUAUCCGUAAGGAGAAGCUCUUGAUCGAAGCCCCGGUAAACGGCGGCCGUAACUAUAACGGUCCUAAGGUAGCGAAAUUCCUUGUCGGGUAAGUUCCGACCUGCACGAAUGGCGUAAUGAUGGCCAGGCUGUCUCCACCCGAGACUCAGUGAAAUUGAACUCGCUGUGAAGAUGCAGUGUACCCGCGGCAAGACGGAAAGACCCCGUGAACCUUUACUAUAGCUUGACACUGAACAUUGAGCCUUGAUGUGUAGGAUAGGUGGGAGGCUUUGAAGCGUGGACGCCAGUCUGCGUGGAGCCAACCUUGAAAUACCACCCUUUAAUGUUUGAUGUUCUAACGUUGGCCCCUGACCGGGGUUGCGGACAGUGUCUGGUGGGUAGUUUGACUGGGGCGGUCUCCUCCCAAAGCGUAACGGAGGAGCACGAAGGUUAGCUAAUCCUGGUCGGACAUCAGGAGGUUAGUGCAAUGGCAUAAGCUAGCUUGACUGCGAGCGUGACGGCGCGAGCAGGUGCGAAAGCAGGUCAUAGUGAUCCGGUGGUUCUGAAUGGAAGGGCCAUCGCUCAACGGAUAAAAGGUACUCCGGGGAUAACAGGCUGAUACCGCCCAAGAGUUCAUAUCGACGGCGGUGUUUGGCACCUCGAUGUCGGCUCAUCACAUCCUGGGGCUGAAGUAGGUCCCAAGGGUAUGGCUGUUCGCCAUUUAAAGUGGUACGCGAGCUGGGUUUAGAACGUCGUGAGACAGUUCGGUCCCUAUCUGCCGUGGGCGCUGGAGAAUUGAGGGGGGCUGCUCCUAGUACGAGAGGACCGGAGUGGACGCAUCACUGGUGUUCGGGUUGUCAUGCCAAUGGCACUGCCCGGUAGCUAAAUGCGGAAGAGAUAAGUGCUGAAAGCAUCUAAGCACGAAACUUGCCCCGAGAUGAGUUCUCCCUGAGACUUUAAGUCUCCUGAAGGAACGUU
rnacentral:rRNA from 1 species